UCUAAGUCUGUGAAUCUGUUUCUGUUUUGUAAAUAAGUUCAUUUGUAUCAUUUUUUUAUUUGAGAUUCUGCAUAUAAACGAUGUCAUAUGAUAUUUGUCUUUCUCUGAUUUACUCAUUUGAAGAUUCCCACCAAAAGUGGAUGAGUGGGGAGCUGGCUUCAGGAUGAAUGGGGACCACCCAGCCUGGAAGGGAUGCUAGGAUGCCCCCCCAACAUAAGUGUCACUGCUCUGUACUGAGACCCAUUGAGUCUCUGAAGAUCUCUUCUCAACAGUAACCUGUAUGAAAUCAUCAUGUGACUUCACAGGAAAUUUGAUCACAGGCUCAGGUGGAAUAAGUCAUAGUUUCCUCUGGGUGCCCAGCCCUGUUCAUGCUGGCUGUGGCUUCAGAACACUGCCCCUCCAGGAGAAACUGCAAGAGAAAACUGUUCAGGAACAUCUUCAGGAGGGAUGCCACUGGGGUUUGGGGGAAGCAAACCCCUGCCCCCCCACCUCCAUCCCAGCUGUGUGGACCCCUUAUCCAGGAAUUAAGUCAACCAGAAAAAGACUCGGGGGCUUCCCUGGUAGUACAGAGCAUAAGAAUCCACCUGCCAAUGCAGGGGCCACCGCUUCGAUCCCUGAUCCAGGAAGAUCCCACAUGCUGCAGAGCAACUAAGCCAGUGAGCCAGGACCGCGGAGCCUCAGCUCUAGAGUCGGGAGCUGCAACGAGAGAAGCGGCCACCAUGGUGAGAAGCCCGGGAAACCACAGCUGCAGAGUGGCCCCGGCGCCCGGCAACUAGAAAAAGCGCAAGUGCAGCAAUGACGACCCAGAGAAACCAAAAUUAAAUCAACUAAUUAAUGUAAAUGUUUUUGUCUUUUUUUUAAAGAGAGACUGGGAUUGUUAAAAUUCAAGUUCAUGUAAGAAAAAACAAAACUCAGUGUUCUUCCACGAACGUGAGAUUUUACUGUAGCUAGUCAAGAGAUCUCCUCAUGAGGUUAAUGGAAUGGAAUAUUCUGGUUCUAGGGUCCCGACUCUAAUCCUUUAACAACGCUGGCUGGACUCUGCAAUUAUCACAGCUAACUGAAGAAAGAUGCUCAUUAGUAUUCAGGACUCAGCUCGG
ensembl:lncRNA